ACUUGGGGUGCUAAAAGUAUCCUCAACCAAGAAAGAUGAGUCCCACAACUUUUCAUUUGUCUGUUUUGGUCCAAGCACUUCAUGCAACUCACUAUCCUUGGGAAAUCUAAAGAAACUGCUUAUAACUUUAUUAUCUGUAUCAUUAGUAGCCUGACCUCCAGAUGGUUCCCCUGCUACGUCUCCAGCAGGAUAAGAACUAAUAAUUCCAUUGAAAGAUUCUCCAAACAUUCCCACAUUGUAAUCAUUACAGUCAGAAUAUGCCUGCAGUUCUUCCAUCAGACAAGAAAGUUCAAACAACUUGCUCUCCAUCAUCUCCAGCUGGCUGGCAUUUAUAGAUACACUUGGAAUUGAUAUUUCAGCAAGACUAAUAGGUGGCACAUCAAUCCUAUUUUCUCUUUCAUAUUGGAGAGCUUCUAGCAGAUCUUUUCCGUCUGGCAUAAAUGAAUCUUCAGCAGUUAUUAGUGGCAGAACUUGACUUGCACUGGACGGAUUGUUAUUAUCUAUCUCAACACUGUUGACAGGUAUCGAAUGAUUUAAAUCUUGAGUCUUCACCGAUGUAAAUGCAGUAGUUGAUGGUGCAUUUAAGCAUUCAAUGGCACCAGACAUCAGUGGGGAUGACGGUUUGGGUUCGAAUUCCUCCUUUACGGAGAAAGUUGAACUAUUUCCUCCAACACUGAGCAGGCCAUGGAAUCUACCUUUGACAUUCGCUACUAUAUUGACAUCUUCAGCAACCUCUUCUAAUGAUCCCAGUUGCAAAACUCCAUGUGGAAGCACAGGCACCAGCAAAAUAGUCCUGAUACCUGAUGCAAACUGAACUAGCCAUUCUUCUGGACACUGCUCAGGAAUUAACUGGACAUCACCAGUGAAAAUGCUAUUGAAGGAAACCCAGCAAUGGACCCUUGUAAAUGCAACUUUGCCAACAACCCCUUCUCCCAAGGCAUAAUGAAGAUGAGACAUGUCAGCCACUAGAAGUCCAACUGGAUAAUCCUCUAAGCUACAAUUGGAUGUAUUUGUUUCUAACUGAGGAGAAAACAUAUCAGUUACACCUUUGCAGUAACCAACAUUUGUUAUACUUUCCACAAGU
rnacentral:misc_RNA from 1 species